rnacentral:snoRNA from 1 species
GAGUGAAAUGAUGCUUAACCAUCUUUCGGGACUUACCCAUUAAUGGGGAUAACAUUUUCAUACACUGAUCACUC